GGUUCAAUGUAACGAUGAUGAUGAGGUAACGAUGAUGAUGAGGUGCUCAUCAUCAUCAUCAUCAUCGUCUCAUCAUUAUCAUCAUCU
rnacentral:miRNA from 1 species